AUGGAUCCGGAAAUGAGGGAUCAUGUUAAGAAGAGGGAGGAGGAGGAUGAUGACAUGAUGUUAUUCAUUUUCCCUACACUACAUUUGAUAGAGACCGGUGGAGUUGCUCCUAGGGAGCCGAGCAUUCCGCGUCAUACAUCAUCGCUAACAGGAGAGAUGUUUGUUAAGGAGUUACUCGAAGGGCACAUCAAAAACUGUCGGGUAGCAUUUAGGAUUGAGCCACAUAUCUUCAAAUAUUUGGCCAAUUAUCUUCGAAGGUAG
rnacentral:rRNA from 1 species